CAAAUGCGAUAAGUAAUGUGAAUUGCAGAAUUCAGUGAAUCAUCGAAUCUUUGAACGCACAUUGCGCCCGCCAGUAUUCUGGCGGGCAUGCCUGUUCGAGCGUCAUUACAACCCUCAGGCCCCCGGGCCUGGCGUUGGGGAUCGGCGGAAGCCCCCUGCGGGCACAACGCCGUCCCCCAAAUACAGUGGCGGUCCCGCCGCAGCUUCCAUUGCGUAGUAGCUAACACCUCGCAACUGGAGAGCGGCGCGGCCACGCCGUAAAACACCCAACUUCUGAAUGUUGACCUCGAAUCAGGUAGGAAUACCCGCUGAACUUAAGC
rnacentral:misc_RNA from 1 species